rnacentral:rRNA from 1 species
UGAGGAAUAUUGGGCAAUGCCCGCAAGGGUGACCCAGCAACGCCGCGUGGAGGAUGAAUGUCGUAAGAUUGUAAACUCCUGUUAGAGGGGAAGAAUAGUACCGGUUGGACCGGUAUAUGACUGUACCCUCAGAGAAAGCCCCGGCUAACUACGUGCCAGCAGCCGCGGUAAUACGUAGGGGGCAAGCGUUGUCCGGAUUUACUGGGCGUAAAGCGCGUGCAGGCGGAUUGGAGAGUUGGAUGUGAAAGCUCCCGGCUUAACUGGGAGAGGUCGUUCAAUACUUCCAGUCUUGAGUGCAGUAGAGGGAAGUGGAAUUCCGGGUGUAGUGGUGAAAUGCGUAGAUAUCCGGAGGAACACCAGUGGCGAAAGCGGCUUCCUGGACUGUAACUGACGCUCAGACGCGAAAGCUAGGGUAGCAAACG